rnacentral:rRNA from 1 species
AGUGAACGCUGGCGGUAGGCCUAACACAUGCAAGUCGAACGGCAGCACAGUAAGAGCUUGCUCUUACGGGUGGCGAGUGGCGGACGGGUGAGGAAUACAUCGGAAUCUACUUUUUCGUGGGGGAUAACGUAGGGAAACUUACGCUAAUACCGCAUACGACCUACGGGUGAAAGCAGGGGAUCUUCUGACCUUGCGCGAUUGAAUGAGCCGAUGUCGGAUUAGCUAGUUGGCGGGGUAAAGGCCCACCAAGGCGACGAUCCGUAGCUGGUCUGAGAGGAUGAUCAGCCACACUGGAACUGAGACACGGUCGAGACUCCUACGGGAGGCAGCAGUGGGGAAUAUUGGACAAUGGGCGCAAGCCUGAUCCAGCCAUACCGCGUGGGUGAAGAAGGCCUUCGGGUUGUAAAGCCCUUUUGUUGGGAAAGAAAAGCAGCAGGUUAAUACCCCGCUGUUCUGACGGUACCCAAAGAAUAAGCACCGGCUAACUUCGUG